rnacentral:snoRNA from 1 species
AUGUUGGAUGAUGAAACAAAUCAAUCGGAUUCCCAUUGAUUAUUUUUAAUAUGAGAUUAAUAACCAGCUACUUCUGACUCGU